AGCAUGUGGUUUAAUCGAAGCAACGCGAAGAACCUUACCAGGUCUUGACAUCCCGAUGCUAUUUCUAGAGAUAGAAAGUUACUUCGGUACAUCGGUGACAGGUGGUGCAUGGUUGUCGUCAGCUCGUGUCGUGAGAUGUUGGGUUAAGUCCCGCAACGAGCGCAACCCCUAUUGUUAGUUGCCAUCAUUCAGUUGGGCACUCUAGCGAGACUGCCGGUAAUAAACCGGAGGAAGUGGGAUGACGUCAAAUCAUCAUGCCCCUUAUGACCUGGGCUACACACGUGCUACAAUGGUUGGUACAACGAGUUGCGAGUCGGUGACGGCGAGCUAAUCUCUUAAAGCCAAUCUCAGUUCGGAUUGUAGGCUGCAACUCGCCUACAUGAAGUCGGAAUCGCUAGUAAUCGCGGAUCAGCACGCCGCGGUGAAUACGUUCCCGGGCCUU
rnacentral:rRNA from 1 species